AGGUCGAUCUUAUUUAUGUGAAAAAGAUUCUGAAAAAUCAAGCAGUACAAUUGAGCUCUGUUCAUGUUAAAUAAUCGAUGAAGAAGAAGAACUUAACUACCUAACUCAUGCUAACCACUUCUAACUACAAGCAUGCUGAGUCACCUACCACGUGUGCUGCUGUAAUUAUAAGCAAAAAAGGAAAAACGUUACUCUCACCAAGUGUCUUCUUCAACCUCCUUCUUCAUCUACUGCUGUUGUGAGCUUGUGCUUGCUGGCUGCAGCUGUCUAUCUUAACAUCCCCCCCCCACCCCAAGAUGGACUUGGGGAAAAUAGCUCAAACCCAUCUUGGACAACAAACCAGAGAAGACAAAGGCAGGGAGGAGCUUUGUGAAUAUAUCUGCUAGUUGGGAGCGACUGGAAAUUGGAGAAGGGAGGAGGAAACUAGAUUUGAAGUGAUAACGGAUCAAGUGACAGUCGAUUUCAAGGUGUUAGGUGCGCUCGUGGAAGACGGGAUUAGCCACAAUGUGAAGGAAAGUUUGAUUAUCACAAUAAAGAGGAAUUAGAGUAGAAAUAGGAACAUGAAAAUCCUGGAGCAUGUAAGAAAUCCAGCAAAGUUCACAGGCAGUGGCCCCAAGACUGAGAUACUCCGCCUCAGCUGUGGAGCGAGCAACGGUGGUAUAUUUUUUUAUUUUCCAUGAAAUGAGAGAGUGGCCCAGAAAGAUGCAGUAACCUGUUAAGGAGCUUAUGGAGUCGACACAAUUCGCCCAAUCAGCAUCACAGUACCCCUUGAGCUGAAAAGAGGAAGAAACAGGGAAGAAAAUGCCCUGGUCUGAAUGGCUUUUAAGGUAGCGCACCAAAUGCAAAGUUGCGUCCAUGUGAUCUUGCCUGGGAUCAUUGACAAAUUGGCUAAGUUGCUGGGCAGCGAAGGAUACAUCAGGGCGAGUAAAGCCAAGUUUUUUGAAAUAUAAUUCUGUCUAAAGUGGCAGACCACCAAACAGUCUAGCAAGGUUUAAUCCAUCUAUUUAUACCAACUUGGCAGGCUCAAAAGCACAAUCCAGCAAGACGACUCAGUAGAUAACGGGGACAAUACAUCAUACGUACUUUUGCCAUCGUGAGACUAGGCAUGACAAAAGAGUCGAGCCAUGGAGAACUCUAAGGUAAGACGAUAA